rnacentral:ncRNA from 13 species
GAUUUAGUUCUGUUGGUAGAACCUCGGAGUCCAAAUCCUGCGGUCGUGGGUUCAAUUCCCACAUGG